AUGUAAUGUUUCCUGAACCCAACAUCUCAUCGAAUCUACAUCCAGGCUGUUACCACCAAUCAUCCGUAAGGAGCUCGUAUUAGUUUGAUCAAAACAACACCAACAAACCAGAAAAACGUGAAGGAGGAGCCAGAAAAUCCCAUGGGGUUCACCUGUGAUGGAAACAUGCCAGUCAGUUAGCCAUGCCAGGUGUCCAAAGCUCAGCACCUACAAAGGAGUAGAACCCAGACUCCCACUGCUUGAACCCGCCUACUACGUAUUUCCAGGAACGUCAUCGCUGAACGGGAAAAAAAAAAAAAAUCAAGAACAAAAACAAACACAAAACUAAACAAAAACAGGACAAUAAAGUGAAAUUGGAAUCUGUUAAUACUAAAUCAUGCCGCAGUCCAAAUACUAAAGGCAUUUUACACCAGAAGACUGCCGAUUUUAAAGUGAGCUUUUUCAAGAACCCAGAAGGUUACAUCCCUGCCAAGCCCAGAUUCCUACUAAUCAAAAUCAAGGCACAAACUCUCUCUUUGAGUUUUGCUAAUGAAAACCAGAGCUCCUCUUGACAACGCAAGUUUCUUCUGGAGGCUAAACCAAAACCCCCAACUUCUGUGCGUAAACUCACCUCCGUCUGCUGGAGAACAAAUGUUGGCUAACGUCAAGACGCCGUGCUGUCAGCAUUCUGGAUGAAGUUAAUCGCGUAGAACUUGCUCGUGGUGAGCCCACGCUGGCUGUUAGGUCUGUGGUUUCCUCUUCUAGGUGCUCACACGCCAGCCCUUUGAUCUUCCACCAGGCUUUCUGGAAGCUUCUUCAGUUGCAGACCCCAUCUUCUUUCUUGGUUGGAAAUCUGAACUCCAUUUGUUGGUCUCCAGUUUUCCAAACCACUUAGGUUUUCCGUGGUUCACAAAGACCACCCAUAGCAGUUUGGGUGAUCUGAUCUGACGAGUUUCUUUUAGUAACAUGGGCUAUAAUUUCCCGGCCUGGAAUGCCACGAGUGUCCAUUUCGUCAUCUAGAAAAUGGAGACUAUAACAGCAUUAUCCCAUACGGUGGUUUGCUAAUUAAAUGGCAUCAUGCACUUAAAGGGCCGCUGUCUAGCACGUAGGAAACAUUCCCCCCAAAUUUGUAACAAGCCACCACAUCGUUUCCUCCUGACAGCACCUCCAGUUUGAUUGGCCUAAAAACCCACCUCUUCCAGAAGCUGCAUUUGCUCCUAAAUUUCCUAAAUCUUUACACGAUGUCACUAUUCUCGCAGUCACUGAAGCCUGACACUCAAAAGCGUCUUUGAUCACCACUUGCCUUCUCGCCCACAUCAAUCGAUGUUAAGUCUGGUAGGUUUCAUCCCUGCAAUGCUACAGACACCAGCCCCUUACUUCCAUCCCAUGGUCACUGUAACGGGUCGAAUGGCCGUUUCGCCUCAAAGCACAUGCAUUGAAGCCCUUAAUGCCCAGUGUGACUUAUAUGGAGACAGGUCCUGUGAGAUGAUAAAGGAAUGAUGAGGUCAUAACAGUGGGGCCCCAAUCCAACAGGGCUGUUGUUUGCGUAAGAAGAGGAAGAGACCCCAGAGAUCUCUCUCUCUCCGCCACGUCAAGGCACAGUGAGAAAACAAAACAGUCAUCUACAAGGCAGAAGGAUCUUCACUGACAAUCAAAGUGGCUAACACCCUUGGCCAGUCUGAGACUUGUCAGCCUCCAGAACGGCGAGAA